CUCUGAGCAACGGCAGUGAUGUCAGCGAGGGUGGGGUGGAGUGUGGUGCGUGUGCAGCCUCCGGAGGCAUCUGCUCCUGGGUCCCUGAUUCUGAGUGUGAUCCGCUGCCUUCCUGCGUGUUUCCCUAUGACUGCCUGAGCGAACAUUCUAGGAUGGCUUCAUGACACUCACAGAAAAUCCAUGGAACAACUGUCAUUCUUGGGACCAGCUGCAUAGCACAGCAACCAACCAUCUAGCAACCAACCUCAUUCACUGGCUGCUGGGUGAGAAGGAGACGAUCUUGGGGUCUUCUGGCCACUUUGCUUUAAGCAAGGAACCUCCCUGUGAAUUUGGACCAAGUCUCCAGCCACCUGACAGAACAAGAUGGUGCCAAGAACUUAGCAAAGACAGACUGGCCGCAGCUCCCUGGCUUCUUAGAAAGCAAAACGGCCCAUGUCCAUCUAUCACCAUAAAUGGCCUGCCUGAACUGCUGGUGUCUUCAGUCUGCGCCAUAAUAUUUCAUUCAACUACCCAUUCGUUACACACAUCCUGAAAGCAAAUAAUGUUAAUGUAAAUAAUUUGGGGAGCAUUGUUCCAUCUGUUGAAAAUGUGCAGUAGUAGCUUCGCCCCUUGUCUAAACUGGGGCGGCUACUUUUAGGCAAGUUUGGGAGGUAAAUGAACUGUCUGGAUGCUUUUCUUGGCAGUCUCUCUUAUUAGUGGGAGGUGGCAGUAACGAGAACAUGAGGAAGACGGAAAGUGUUUACUUAAAGUCGUGGCCAAAUGGCGAGGGAGAGUUAAGAUAAAUCAUAAGCUGUCAAUGAUGACAACUUCAGACUGCUACUAGUUCACUCCUGUUUAUGGAGUUUCAGAUGCUGCAUUUAGAAUGUGAAGGAGUUUAUUAAAGUGUUAUUGGUAGAAGUUGCUGAUUGUUUAGAAGUUAAACAUUGAGGUAAGAAGUAGCAGUCAUGUAGCCUGGGAAUAGUCAAAGCGUGAAGCCCCUGUCCAGUCAUUGUGGGUGAAUCUCUGUCCAGUGAAUGGGCACCACUGAGUCAUAUUCUCCUUCAAGACUCAGACCAUGAAUCAGCUGAGGCUUACUAUGCUUUUGUCACAUGACAACAGUAAUAAAGCAUUAUAGUGAAGUGCUAAAGGGACUAAAGAGCUGUAUCUUUGCUUUUCUGAUUGCUUUUCUUGUCCAAGGUAACUUUGCUUGGAUGUUGACUUUUGAAUUGCAGCCUAGAGCUUAGUUCAUGUCAACAAAAGGCCAGGAUCUUUUGAGGUUAGACAAUGUCCUCAACAGUUUUCCCCCAAACUCCUCUCUGAAUGCAUAUCCAUUAUAAAAAGUGAGUUCUUGUGAGCCUUCAGUGUUUAUUUUACUGAAGUGCAAUGUCUUCUUCUGUCCUAGAGCUCACUCGUGGCAAGACUGACUGCCUCAGUGGCAAGUUGCAGAGAAUGAGUGUGUUUUGUCCUUGCCCACAAGGCUUAUGAAGAGCUGUAAAGAGUUCCUCUGUGACUUGUGUAUCCCUUCUCUGUAUGUGUCUCUCAAACAUUCAUCAAGUGGCAGCCAGGGUCAAGAUACAAUGACAAGCGUGGCAGUCCAUACCCUCAGGGGUGUGGUGUCAUCAGGAAGGACUGUAUUGUCAACAAAUCACAGCAAAAAAUGGCAAAGCUGUGAUGAUUCAAGCUCGUAUAAAUUACUGAGAAGAGGGAAGCUAGGUAGAGUUCAGGUCCCUGAGGAAGUUGAGGAAGAUGGUACUUUUAGUCCAGGAAAUGAAGUUUGGGUGGGGUUUUCCAGAAAACAAAUGAGAUCAGGUUACUCAGGGCAGAGGAAACAGCAGGUGAAAAGACAAAAGCCUGCCCUGCUUGGAGAAUUGUUUAGUAGCUCAAUGUGGCUGGAGCAUCAUUUAGAGGGAUGGCGGUCAAGAGUGAAUGGGAUAAUUGAUUAUAAAGUUUAUAGAGAUGGAAAUAAUUGCUAAAAGGAAAAACAAAGCAACAAUGUGCAAAACAAAAUAAGGUCCCACCCCAUUCACUGAUCUGUGCUUUGACACUGCCUUUCUUUGAAAUUUUUUGAAAGAGAUGAAUCACCCAGAAUUUCUAAUGGUGGGAUUUUUAUUUUAAAGAUGGAUUUCUUUUUUCAGAGGAAAAUCAAACUGAGAUUAUCUGGGGUGUUUUAUCAACAGGAUUAAAAUUCUGGGUUUUACUGUAUGAUUUCACUCAUGUGGAAGAUAAACAAAUACAUGGACACAUGCCCCUCACCCCACCUGCUAUGGACUGAAUUCUAUCCCUCCAAAGAUGUUAUAGUCCUAACCUCUAGCACCUGUGGAUGAGACCAUAUUCGGAAGUAGAGUCUUUGAAGAAGAUCAAAUUAACAUGAGGUCAUUAGGACGGGCCCUUACCCAACACGACCAUCUCCUAAAAGGGGAAAAUUUGGAAACAGAUAUGCACACAGAAAGAACAUCAUGUGAACACGAAGGCAGAGAUUGGGAUGAUGCUUCUACAAACCAAGGAAUGCCAGAAAUUUCCAGCAACCACCAGAUGCUAAGAGAGAGGCUUGGAACAGUUUCUCCUUUACAACCCCCAGAGGGAACUAAACCUACUGACAUCUUGAUUUCAGACUUCUAGACUCCAGAACUGUGAGACAAUAAAUUUCCAUUGUUUAAGCCACUCAGUUUGUUGCCCUUUGUUACAGCAGCCCCAGGAAACUGACACAGUACCAGAUUUCGGAAGCAGCUUUGCUGCAGCCUGGGAUAGAUGGGAGAAAGGAGUGCCUGAGAGUGGGAUGCCUGCCUGAUGGGGAGAGAAUUUAAGAUAGAUGGGAAGUAUACAUGGAAAGCUCAGAGGAAUGGCACUCUAGAGGGUUCUGAGCUACAUAAGAUGACUAUCCAGAUCAGACCUGGCUCUUUGGUACUUUUCAAAGAAAACUGAUUUUAUGACAAUGCAACUGAAAGGGCUUUAGAUUGGAGAGUACUGUAGAACUCAAAUAAGUGCUUCUUCGGUAAUCAAAAUAAGUUCAUUCUUGAGUGAGGGAAUAUGUAUUUAAUGUAGCCAUCCAAGGAAAUCAUGCGACAUGGACUUUCAAAGCAUGUGCUUCACAAAAGAAAGGAAUGAUUAUCCGCUUCUUUCCUAAAAGUUGAAUAGCUGUCAUUUGUUCACACCGAGGAGGCUCUGCAAUGUGGCUUUAGACUGCUGUGCUUGUGGGUCAUACGGCAGCAUCUUCACGAAACAUGGAUGCAAAAUAAGGUAUCAACUCCUUAACAUAAAUGUAGACGCUGCUGGGAUAAACAAAAUGCAAAUUUAUUUUUAAAUUAAUUCAUUUGAAACAAAGAACAAGGAUAGAACAUCUGCAAUUGGGGCUGUGGGCUUUGAAAUAUUCCGAUGCCAUAAGGAACCUUCACACUCACCAGAGUAUAAACCAUUGACGCAUAUCUACUGCAUUUCCCGGUUUGGCAACUCUGAGAAAUGAAUUUUUAGUUUAUUGUGCGGAAGCUCUGAAGAGGCCAGGAUAAAGUGUACAGGAAGUCAUCAUUUGGCUGCGGAUGGGCAACUGGGUUUCCUACUUCCUCAGUAGCAAACAUGGGCUGUUUUUGACUGAGUGGCAUGCUUUGAAAGCGAGUGACAUACAUUGAUGUGCAACCCUCUGAUCUGAAGAGCAUGUGAGCAUGAUGUUCUUCCCUGAGCUAAAAGUGUAUGAACUAUGUGAAAGAUGCUCCCACAGGGGUGGGCACCAUUGACUCCAUGGGGCUCCCAAGGGAGGUGGACUUCUUGGUUGAUCAAGUUUGGUGAAGGGCACUAAUCCUUCAGCAACUGUCCACAAAAGGAAUUCCCUGAAGAACAGUCCCCUGGAUAAAACAUAAUUUAUGGAAAAUGAAGAAGUACCAAGGAAGGAUCUGGCCUCUUCCUUGGUCCUGGGCUCUGAUUUUUACUCUCUGGACUCAGAAGGAGAAAGACCACAAAACACUCAAUGAGGCCUUACCACUCCAGAAGCAAGGGGACAGCCAUCCGCUCAAGAGCAGGAAACUGAGGCAGCGAGCAGACCUCCCCCUAGAGACCCACAGCUCCACAUGCACCGGGGACCCACAGCUCCAGCACCUUUCCACUCUGGUCUUGCCUGUCUCU
ensembl:lncRNA